rnacentral:tRNA from 2 species
AAGGGGGUAGCAUAUGAAGUGUUUUUUGCUUACAACAAAACGGUGGAGGCAAUCCUCCCCCUCUUA